GCUGGAUGUUCUGACACUCCCUGUUCAUCAUAGCAACAGAGAGCAAGCUGGGACAGCGGGUGAUCUGAGGUUAGGGGAUUCUGAUCAAUGUCAUUUGAUUCUAAUCCAGUCUUCACCAUUCAUUAUCCAGUCAUCUUCGUCUGCUCACAUCUCGGAUCCUCGUCUGUGAGAAGACCCAGUUCCCAUGAGAGAGAAGAUUUGCCUUUGAAACGAUGCCAGAUCACCUGACAAACAAAUGGUUAAAUACAGUCAAGUUUUACAUACAAGUUGAUCCAGCCAAGACCAUGGAGGUGAAGGUCAUUGAACCAGAGAAAGAUGCAGAAUGAUGGAUCAGCACAGAGACACAGUAGAGACCCCGUAGUUCACACCUGUCUGUGAGCAUCACUUCAGUCCUAUUAGGUCUCUUCAUCCUGUCUCAGUGGACCCUAUAGGAAAAGUCAAAGCAAAAGCAUUUGGUUUCAGCUUCUAUAUAGACUGAAGGGCAAGUUUAGGCUCUGUAGGGAACUUACACCCAGAGGUACCAGCAAUGCCUCUGACUAACAGUGUGUAUAUCUGGAUGUUCCCUUAGAGACCAGGGCUUCCUUCCUGAGCCUUAAGGGGUACCACAGACAAAGUGCAUGUUUACGAAUGCUUUCUCAGUUCAGUAAUACUGAGAUAAAGAAUUAGAGCUGUUUGACUUGGAUUUAUCUGCUCUCUACACCCGAGAACAUGUAGCCUCACCUAUGAUUAGGUGGAAUUUUAUAGAGGAGGAUUCUCUGUUGGAAUGUAACUAUCCCUGGUUCUACUGACCAGGCCACCAAAGAAUGUUCUCCUCUGAGCCCCUAGGAUAGAAACAGAAGUGAGGAAAGGAUAUAUGUCACUGGUUACUCCUACCUUUGUGAUGUGGAGCAGGUUCUCUUCUCUAACCUGUGUAUCCAUUAUCUUCUGGUUUUUAAAUCCCAAGAGUUAAAGGUUUACAUCAGUGUAUUAGUCAGCUUUCUGUGAGUGUAAAAAUACAUGAGAUAAUUUAAAAAAAAAUAAAGGUUUAUUUU